CAGACCGAGUAUGAGGCCGGCUUUGACUGCCUCUUGCCCAAAUAUUGUGGGACAUAGCGAAUGCACCAAUAGACGAAAUACGUCUUCUGUUGCAUGGAUCUCCUAAAAUGUACAGCUGCAAUAAUCUCGCAGCACGUUUGCCAUCUUCUCCCCCUUUGCUCUCACCGCGGACCUGGAAUUUACGAGGACCUUCAAAGAAAGAACAUCGCCAGGACAAGCUGUACCGACAAGGUCUCCCUGUAAGUCUAUCUCCACACUUCUUGGUAUUGUUCCAGACAGGCUCUGGAAUUAUAACAACAAAUUAAAAAUAUGUUUUACUUAUAAUGCU